GUGGGGAAUAUUGGACAAUGGGGGCAACCCUGAUCCAGCCAUGCCGCGUGUGUGAAGAAGGCCUUCGGGUUGUAAAGCACUUUUGUUGGGGAAGAAAAGCACUGGGUUAAUACCCUGGUGUCAUGACGGUACCCAAAGAAUAAGCACCGGCUAACUUCGUGCCAGCAGCCGCGGUAAUACGAAGGGUGCAAGCGUUACUCGGAAUUACUGGGCGUAAAGCGUGCGUAGGCGGUUUGUUAAGUCUGUCGUGAAAGCCCCGGGCUCAACCUGGGAAUGGCGAUGGAAACUGGCGAGCUAGAGUACGGUAGAGGAGAGUGGAAUUCCCGGUGUAGCAGUGAAAUGCGUAGAGAUCGGGAGGAACAUCAGUUGCGAAGGCGGCUCUCUGGACCAGUACUGACGCUGAGGCACGAAAGCGUGGGGAGCAAACAGGAUUAGAAACCCGAGUAGUCC
rnacentral:rRNA from 1 species